GAUGAACGCUGGCGGCGUGCUUAACACAUGCAAGUCGAACGGAAAGGCUCCUGCUUGCAGGGGUACUCGAGUGGCGAACGGGUGAGUAACACGUGGGUGAUCUGCCCUGCACUUCGGGAUAAGCCUGGGAAACUGGGUCUAAUACCGGAUAGGACGAUGGUUUGGAUGCCAUUGUGGAAAGUUUUUCGGUGUGGGGUGAGCUCGCGGCCUAUCGGCUUGUUGGUGGGGUAAUGGCCUACCAAGGCGUCGACGGGUAGCCGGCCUGAGAGGGUGUACGGCCACAUUGGGACUGAGGUACGGCCCAGACACCUACGGGAGGCAGCAGUGGGGAAGAUUGCACAAUGGGCGCAAGCCUGAUGCAGCGACGCCGCGUGGGGGAUGACGGCCUUCGGGUUGUAAACUCCUUUCGCUAGGGACGAAGCGUUUUGUGACGGUACCUGGAGAAGAAGCACCGGCUAACUACGUG
rnacentral:rRNA from 1 species